rnacentral:lncRNA from 1 species
AUCAUCACAGGUCUCCCUGUCUCCAAAGAGUCCCACCGCUAAUUCAACCCCCAAAGCAUUCCCAAAGUGAAUUUUAUAAAACAAAAGUUCUUAAUUUUACCAUUGAAUUUAAGAUGAGGCCCAAGGCUUUUGGUUGGGUCAACAAACUUUUACUAAUCUGGUGUCUACUUUCAGCUCAGUCUUCUACUUUUACCAUAGAUUCUGGGGUAAAGCUACUUGCAGUUUCCAAAAUAUGCUAGGCUUUUUAAAUUUUUUAAACUCUGAGUUUUUGCUCUGCUGGCCGAGUCCUCCCUGUCUCCUCCUCAACCUUGAACUCAUAGGAAAUUCUCCUUGGGCAUGAUUUCUCUCACCUUCCCAGGCUGUUCGUUGUCUUAGCCAAGCUCAUUAUGAAAUUUUUAUCUGCAUAUUUUGUAGUUAUUUAUUUCCCGAUCUACUCUCUCACAUGAUGUAGUGUAGAGAUCAGGAACCAAUUACUUUUUUAAGUCUCUGUUUCUGCAGUGCCCAGUGCAUGGCUCGGCACAUGUUGGCCAGGCAACAGUUAAUGCUUAUUGUCAAUAAGGUGAUGGAACAAUAUUAUUUCAAUAGUUUUGCAGUUGCUUUUCUUUCUAACUGGAGUAUCCCCCUCUUUUUUGCCUUGAUAUUUAUUUAUUUUUUAUCUUCCAGAUACAACUUGAAAAUUCCACCUUCCAUGCGGACUGCCCUGGUCCUCCACCCUACUGUAGUUAAGAGAUACUAUCUGUGAACAUGCCUGACAUGCUCCCCGUGGAUUGACUCCCCACCUGUUCUGCCAGGGGGCAAUGCUGUCUCCUGUCUCACACUGUGCCCUAAUCCAGGAAAGGGCUUUCUUAUUAUUCUUUGCAUCUUUAGUGCUGGACCAGGGCCUGACAUAUAAUAGAUGCUCAAUGAAUGUUUGGGGAAUAAAUGAAUGGAUAUACAAGACAACGUUCAGCAGGGGAGCUACCAGCAAGCGCAAUAAACUGGGGGCCCACUGGGGCAGAUGUCUUAAUGGAGAGAGCAGAGAUGAUGAGAAAAUCCCUCAGCAGGUUGAGAAUGCCUUCUGCAGGCUCAGGGCACAAAGUGAGAACUCUUUGCACAGGUAAGGAAGGCAGUGAAAAGUACUUCCUUCACUGAGUGUGGGAUCACAAAGUCAGGAAAUUUGGGGAAAAUUUUCACAUGAUUUAAAAUAGUUCUUGUCAAUUUCUUAACCAACUUUACAAGGUCUUCAUAUUUUUUAAUAAAAUGGGAGGCAGCACUGUGUUUCCCUAAUGAUCUUCUUUUGUCACAGGAGGCAGCAUGGGCUGGAACAGUAGCAGCUGGAAUAAGCAGCUUUAUCUAAUUGAACUUUAGCUAAGAUGUGAAAAUAACCUAAAUGUCCAUCAACAGAUGAAUGAAGAAAAUGUGGUAUAUACACAUGAUGGAAUACUAUCCAGCCUUAAAAAGGAAGGAAAUUCUGCCUUAUUCAACAACAUAAAUGGCCCUUGAGGACAUUAUGCAGUGAAAUAAGUCAAAUACAGAAAGACAAAUACUGCAUCAUUCCACUUACAUCAAGUAUCUAAAAAUAGUCAAAUUCAUUAAAUCAAAGAGCAUAACAGUGGUUACCAGGGGCAGGGGGAGGAUGAAAUGAGUUAUUAAUCAACAGGCAUAAAAUAAUUAAGUAAGAUGAAUAAACUCUAAAGAUCUGCUGAACAACAUUGUACCCAUAGUCAACAAUAUUGCAUUGUAUUAAUACACUUACAAUUUGCUGAGAGGAUAGAGCUCAUGUUAAGUGUUCUUACCACAAAAACAAAAAUAAAUUAAAAAAGAGGAUAAGGAAGGGGAAGGAUGGCACACCUGGUCCCCAGGAAGUUCCUGAAUGUACUUUUGUCUAAUUCCUGCUGUUUUCUGGGAACGAUCUGGGAGGAGUCACUCACCACCUAUGGAGGCCCAGUGGCCUGGGAAGGUCUUCUCCUUGGUGCUCAUGAGAGUUGGGGUCUUGUGGGCUGUGGGGUGCUCAGGGUGGGAGCACGAGGGAAGGAGGUGUGUGUGAUGAGUGAGAUAGAGUCCCCGUGCCUCUAGAGGAAUGGAAGAGUCAUCUCAGCAUGUUCAGAACAGGCUUAGGAGCAGAGUGAGGGGGGCGGUUAGCUCUCUUAGGAGAGGAGGUG